AGUGAGUUCUCAUGAUCCACCAAUGAUGUCUGGCAGUAUGUAGUGGUAAUCAAACAGAAUAAAAAAAAUGAAUUUCUAGAUACAGCUAUCGCAUGAUACAAUUACUCUAUCAUGAGUCCUGACUAGACGCAGAUCAUGAAAAAUUCGUCAAAUCCCAUCGUCAGUCAUAUGCCAGAUUGGCUCGAUUUAAGUUCAUCUAUGAA
rnacentral:lncRNA from 1 species